rnacentral:rRNA from 1 species
AUGAGGCCGGAUGAGGUGAAGUUUGAUAAGUUGCAAGUAUGGGCUAGGGUUGUUAACUUGCCAUACAAUUUGCGUGAUGAGGCAUGGUGGAAGCCAAUAGCUCAACAGAUAGACAAGAACGCUCUUUCAGUUAAAUUUGACCACAAUGGUGGGUUUCUGCGAGCAAGAAUUUCCAUCGAUGUUGCUAAGCCAAUCAGACGCUGGAUCCUAAUAGACUCUGCCAGGAGGAAGAAGGUAGAUAUAUACGAUAUCCAAUAUGAAAAUAUACCAUACUUCUGCUUCUCCUGUGGUAGGUUAGGGCACUCAGAUUUGCAUUGCCCAACUCCUGGUUCUAGGGACGAGAAUGGUGAGCUUCCGUUCGGCCCAAAAUUACGCGCUCCUGACGAGUCCCGGAAGUCACCGAGCAGUGAAAAUUCUUCCAAGGAUCCACAGAAGGGUGCCAACUACAAGCCAACAACCAGAAACUCGAGCACCAACAAGGAGCCAGGGGAAGAGGUUAUUUCCCCGAUCAAGCACAGGGCUCCACCAAAGAGGAAAGAUGCUCCGAACCAAGUAUACAGACCGAUGGUGAAAACUUGCUGCUUACAGAGGGGGAACCGAGUGCAGCCAAUGGUGUUGAAACUAUUGGCAAGGAUGGUGAGACUUCUGCUAGCAAUGAAGUAG